rnacentral:rRNA from 1 species
AAUUGGAGGGCAAGUCUGGUGCCAGCAGCCGCGGUAAUUCCAGCUCCAAUAGCGUAUAUUAAAGUUGUUGCAGUUAAAAAGCUCGUAGUUGAAUUUCGGGGUUAGUAGGCCGGUCAUGCCUCUGGUAUGUACUGGUCUUACUGACUUCUCCUUUCUGAAGAACUGUAAUGCCAUUAAUUUGGUGUUGCAGGGAAUCAGGACUGUUACUUUGGAAAAAUUAGAGUGUUUAAAGCAGGCUAACGCUUGAAUACAUUAGCAUGGAAUAAUGAAAUAGGACGUUCGAUCCUAUUUUGUUGGUUUCUAGGAUUGACGUAAUGAUUAAUAGGGAUAGUUGGGGGCAUUAGUAUUCAAUUGUCAGAGGCGAAAUUCUUGGAUUUAUUGAAGACUAACUACUGCGAAAGCAUUUGCCAAGGAUGUUUUCAUUAAUCAAGAACGAAAGUUAGGGGAUCGAAGACGAUCAGAUACCGUCGUAGUCUUAACCAUAAACUAUGCCGACUAGGGAUCGGAUGAUGUUAAUUUUUUAAUGACUCAUUCGGCGCCUUACGGGAAACCAAAGUGU